AAAUGAUGAGACACAAGCUGGCACCAGUCUGAGAAGACUUGUACUCUUUGCAUGCGGAUCAGCUGCAUAGACUUUUUAGUCGCCUACUGAU
rfam:Setosphaeria turcica Et28A unplaced genomic scaffold SETTTscaffold_1, whole genome shotgun sequence.